AGGAUUCCCCUAGUAACUGCGAGUGAAGCGGGAAAAGCUCAAAUUUAAAAUCUGGCGGUCUUCGGCCGUCCGAGUUGUAGUCUGGAGAAGUGCUUUCCGCGCUGGACCGUGUAUAAGUCUCUUGGAACAGAGCGUCAUAGAGGGUGAGAAUCCCGUCUUUGACACGGACUACCAGUGCUUUGUGAUGCGCUCUCAAAGAGUCGAGUUGUUUGGGAAUGCAGCUCAAAAUGGGUGGUGAAUUCCAUCUAAAGCUAAAUAUUGGCGAGAGACCGAUAGCGAACAAGUACCGUGAGGGAAAGAUGAAAAGCACUUUGGAAAGAGAGUUAAACAGUACGUGAAAUUGCUGAAAGGGAAACGCUUGAAGUCAGUCGCGUCGUCCGGAACUCAGCCUUGCUUCCGCUUGGUGCACUUUCCGGAUGACGGGUCAGCAUCGAUUUUGACCGUCGGAAAAGGGCUGGAGUAAUGUGGCACCUCCGGGUGUGUUAUAGACUCUGGUCGCAUACGGCGGUUGGGAUCGAGGAACGCAGCGCGCCGCAAGGCAGGGGUUCGCCCACUUUCGCGCUUAGGAUGCUGGCAUAAUGGCUUUAAACGACCCGUCUUGAAACACGGACCAAGGAGUCUAACAUACCUGCGAGUGUUUGGGUGGAAAACCCGAGCGCGUAAUGAAAGUGAAAGUUGAGACCUCUGUCGUGGRGGGCAUCGACGCCCGGACCUGACGUUCUCUGAAGGAUCCGCGGUAGAGCAUGUAUGUUGGGACCCGAAAGAUGGUGAACUAUGCCUGAAUAGGGUGAAGCCAGAGGAAACUCUGGUGGAGGCUCGUAGCGAUUCUGACGUGCAAAUCGAUCGUCAAAUUUGGGUAUAGGGGCGAAAGACUAAUCGAACCAU
rnacentral:rRNA from 1 species